GAACCAAGGACUAGAGCUCUUGCCCCGCCAACGACAGAUGAACUACCGAAACCAAGGACUAUAGCUCCUGUACCGCCAACGACGGAGGCACCACCGA